rnacentral:rRNA from 1 species
GUGACCUGCGGAGGAUCAUUACCGAGUGAGGGCCCUCUGGGUCCAACCUCCCACCCGUGUUUAUUUUACCUUGUUGCUUCGGCGAGCCUGCCUUUUGGCUGCCGGGGGACAUCUGUCCCCGGGUCCGCGCUCGCCGAAGACACCUUAGAACUCUGUCUGAAGAUUGUAGUCUGAGAUUAAAUAUAAAUUAUUUAAAACUUUCAACAACGGAUCUCUUGGUUCCGGCAUCGAUGAAGAACGCAGCGAAAUGCGAUACGUAAUGUGAAUUGCAGAAUUCAGUGAAUCAUCGAGUCUUUGAACGCACAUUGCGCCCUCUGGUAUUCCGGAGGGCAUGCCUGUCCGAGCGUCAUUGCUGCCCUCAAGCACGGCUUGUGUGUUGGGCUCCGUCCUCCUUCCGGGGGACGGGCCCGAAAGGCAGCGGCGGCACCGCGUCCGGUCCUCAAGCGUAUGGGGCUUUGUCACCCGCUUUGUAGGACUGGCCGGCGCCUGCCGAUCAACCAAACUUUUUUCCAGGUUGACCUCGGAUCAGGUAGGGAUACCCGCUGAACUUAAGCAUAUCAAUAAGCGGAGGAAAAGAAACCAACAGGGAUUGCCCCAGUAACGGCGAGUGAAGCGGCAAGAGCUCAAAUUUGAAAGCUGGCUCCUUCGGGGUCCGCAUUGUAAUUUGCAGAGGAUGCUUCGGGAGCGGUCCCCAUCUAAGUGCCCUGGAACGGGACGUCAUAGAGGGUGAGAAUCCCGUAUGGGAUGGGGUGUCCGCGCCCGUGUGAAGCUCCUUCGACGAGUCGAGUUGUUUGGGAAUGCAGCUCUAAAUGGGUGGUAAAUUUCAUCUAAAGCUAAAUAUUGGCCGGAGACCGAUAGCGCACAAGUAGAGUGAUCGAAAGAUGAAAAGCACUUUGAAAAGAGAGUUAAAAAGCACGUGAAAUUGUUGAAAGGGAAGCGCUUGCGACCAGACUCGCUCGCGGGGUUCAGCCGGCAUUCGUGCCGGUGUACUUCCCCGCGAGCGGGCCAGCGUCGGUUUGGGCGGUCGGUCAAAGGCCUCUGGAAGGUAACGCCCCCUCGGGGGCGUCUUAUAGCCAGGGGUGCAAUGCGGCCUGCCCGGACCGAGGAACGCGCUCGGCUCGGA